rnacentral:piRNA from 1 species
UAGGAUGCAAUGAAUCCCACGCUGAGCAAC